GAUGAACGCUAGCGGCAGGCUUAAUACAUGCAAGUCGAGGGGCAGCAUGAUCGUAGCAAUACGGUUGAUGGCGACCGGCAAACGGGUGCGGAACACGUACACAACCUUCCUUUAAGCGGGGAAUAGCCCAGAGAAAUUUGGAUUAAUACCCCAUAGUAUAUUGAAAAGGCAUCUUUUUAAUAUUAAAGAUUUAUCACUAAAAGAUGGGUGUGCGGCUGAUUAGGUAGUUGGCGGGGUAACGGCCCACCAAGCCGACGAUCAGUAACUGGUGUGAGAGCACGACCAGUCACACGGGCACUGAGACACGGGCCCGACUCCUACGGGAGGCAGCAGUAAGGAAUAUUGGUCAAUGGACGAAAGUCUGAACCAGCCAUGCCGCGUGGAGGAUGAAGGUCCUCUGGAUUGUAAACUUCUUUUAUCUGGGGACGGA
rnacentral:rRNA from 1 species